CUUCUAACCGUGGGUUAUUCUUGUUGGGCGCCAAUGUAACCGGAGAGCACGAAUUUCAUUACAAAAUUGCUUGUCUCCACCGGGACUCGAACCCGGUACCUCUGUGUUACAAGGCAGCGCGCUAACCGACUGAGCUAAAGAAGUACUUCCUUAGCUCAACCGCUUACGGCUGACUAAGUAUCUACUAAGUUUUUCUAAGGGAAGCAAUCCCGUCACACA
rnacentral:lncRNA from 1 species